AACGAACGCUGGCGGCAUGCCUAACACAUGCAAGUCGAACGAGACCUUCGGGUCUAGUGGCGCACGGGUGCGUAACGCGUGGGAACCUGCCCUUAGGUUCGGAAUAACUCCCCGAAAGGGGUGCUAAUACCGGAUAAUGUCUUCGGACCAAAGAUUUAUCGCCUUUGGAUGGGCCCGCGUUGGAUUAGCUAGUUGGUAGGGUAAAAGCCUACCAAGGCGACGAUCCAUAGCUGGUCUGAGAGGAUGAUCAGCCACACUGGGACUGAGACACGGCCCAGACUCCUACGGGAGGCAGCAGUGGGGAAUAUUGGACAAUGGGCGAAAGCCUGAUCCAGCAAUGCCGCGUGAGUGAUGAAGGCCUUAGGGUUGUAAAGCUCUUUUACCCGGGAUGAUAAUGACAGUACCGGGAGAAUAAGCUCCGCUAACUCCGUG
rnacentral:rRNA from 1 species